rnacentral:rRNA from 1 species
AAUGAACGCUGGCGGCAGGCCUAACACAUGCAAGUCGAGCGAAGUCUUCGGACUUAGCGGCGGACGGGUGAGUAACGCGUGGGAACAUGCCCUUUGGUGCGGAAUAGCCCCGGGAAACUGGGAGUAAUACCGCAUGUGCCCUUCGGGGGAAAGAUUUAUCGCCAAAGGAUUGGCCCGCGUUGGAUUAGGUAGUUGGUGGGGUAAUGGCCUACCAAGCCGACGAUCCAUAGCUGGUUUGAGAGGAUGAUCAGCCACACUGGGACUGAGACACGGCCCAGACUCCUACGGGAGGCAGCAGUGGGGAAUCUUAGACAAUGGGCGCAAGCCUGAUCUAGCCAUGCCGCGUGAUCGAUGAAGGCCUUAGGGUUGUAAAGAUCUUUCAGUGGGGAAGAUAACGACGGUACCCACAGAAGAAGCCCCGGCUAACUCCGUG